GACGAACGCUGGCGGCGUGCCUAAUACAUGCAAGUUGAGCGCUGAAGGUUGGUACUUGUACCAACUGGAUGAGCAGCGAACGGGUGAGUAACGCGUGGUGAAUCUGCCUUUGAGCGGGGGACAACAUUUGGAAACGAAUGCUAAUACCGCAUAAAAACUUUAAACACAAGUUUUAAGUUUGAAAGAUGCAAUUGCAUCACUCAAAGAUGAUCCCGCGUUGUAUUAGCUAGUUGGUGAGGUAAAGGCUCACCAAGGCGAUGAUACAUAGCCGACCUGAGAGGGUGAUCGGCCACAUUGGGACUGAGACACGGCCCAAACUCCUACGGGAGGCAGCAGUAGGGAAUCUUCGGCAAUGGACGAAAGUCUGACCGAGCAACGCCGCGUGAGGGAAGAAGGGUUUCGGAUCGUAAAACUCUGUUGGUAGAGAAGAACGUUGGUGAGAGUGGAAAGCUCAUCAAGUGACGGUAACUACACAGAAAGGGACGGCUAACUACGUG
rnacentral:rRNA from 1 species